rnacentral:tRNA from 1 species
AGCGCAGUUGGUAGCGCAUCACCUUGCCAAGGUGAGGGUCGCGAGUUCGAGUCUCGUC